UAAAAAACAAAAUAAAAAUAAAUAGAAAUAAAAUUAGUUUUGAUUGUUAAAAAACAGCUUUUUUUUGUUCUUGACUUCUAUAAAAGAUGGAAACAAAUGAAGUUCGACAUAAACUUAAUCCUAAAAACAUGAAUGGUCCAUGCAUAUUACUGUCAUUAACAAAAUCUCACCGGAUACUUUUUUUCGGAGAAAUUCACCCACCCC
rnacentral:lncRNA from 1 species